AACGCACGAGACCUGCGGACCUGCGGAGGGAUCAUUAGAAUAUCAGGAAGAUUUUUUUUUUAAAUCUUUCUAAUACGUUUAUUCAAAAAUUUUCGAUCUUAUAUAUAUAUUUUAAAAUACUUUUUUAAAAAAAAAUUAAGAUAACUUUCAGCAACGGAUCUCU
rnacentral:misc_RNA from 1 species